rnacentral:rRNA from 1 species
CCUACGGGAGGCAGCAGUGAGGAAUAUUGGUCAAUGGACGAGAGUCUGAACCAGCCAAGUAGCGUGAAGGAUGACUGCCCUAUGGGUUGUAAACUUCUUUUAUAUGGGAAUAAAAUGUUCCACGUGUGGGAUUUUGUAUGUACCAUAUGAAUAAGGAUCGGCUAACUCCGUGCCAGCAGCCGCGGUAAUACGGAGGAUCCGAGCGUUAUCCGGAUUUAUUGGGUUUAAAGGGAGCGUAGGUGGAUUGUUAAGUCAGUUGUGAAAGUUUGCGGCUCAACCGUAAAAUUGCAGUUGAAACUGGCAGUCUUGAGUACAGUAGAGGUGGGCGGAAUUCGUGGUGUAGCGGUGAAAUGCUUAGAUAUUACGAAGAACUCCGAUUGCGAAGGCAGUUCACUGGACUGCAACUGACACUGAGGCUCGAAAGUGUGGGUAUCAAACAGGAUUAGAUACCCGAGUAGUC